UACAGAGGUCCCAAGCGUUGUUCGGAUUCACUGGGCGUAAAGGGUGCGUAGGCGGUUUGAUAAGUCAUCUGUGAAAUCUCUGGGCUCAACCCAGAGUCUGCAGGCGAAACUGUCGGGCUUGAGUAUGGGAGAGGUGAGUGGAAUUUCCGGUGUAGCGGUGAAAUGCGUAGAUAUCGGAAGGAACACCUGUGGCGAAAGCGGCUCACUGGACCAUUACUGACGCUGAUGCACGAAAGCUAGGGGAGCAGGCAGG
rnacentral:rRNA from 1 species